GUGCCAGCAGCCGCGGUAAUACGGGGGGUGCAAGCGUUGUUCGGAUUUAUUGGGCGUAAAGCGCGUGUAGGCGGUUUGUUAAGUCUGAUGUGAAAGCCCUGGGCUCAACCCAGGAAGUGCAUUGGAAACUGGCAGACUUGAAUACGGGAGAGGGUAGUGGAAUUCCUGGUGUAGGAGUGAAAUCCGUAGAUAUCAGGAGGAACACCGGUGGCGAAGGCGGCCAUCUGGACGGACACUGACGCUGAGGCGCGAAAGCGUGGGGAGAAAACAG
rnacentral:rRNA from 1 species